UUCGCUCUUCAACGAGGAAUCCCUAGUAAGCACAAGUCACUAGCUUGUGCUGAUUACGUCCCUGCCCUUUGUACACACCGCCCGUCGCUACUACCGAUUGGAUGGCUUAGUGAGGCCCUCGGAUCGGAGGUGAGGACUGGCAACAGACCUCGCUUUCAAGAAGUUGGUCAAUCUUGGUCAUUUAGAGGAAGUAAAAGUCGUAACAAGGUUUCCGCAGGUGAACCUGCGGAAGGAUCAUUACCAACCUUUGUGAGCCUUGGACUCGUCCAUGGUCACGCGAAAUACGUAUUUAAAACCCGCUCAUAUUAACUAAAACAUGUGGUCAACAUAUGAUAAUUAAAGAUCACUUUCAACAACGGAUCUCUUGGCUCUCGCAUCGAUGAAGAACGUAGCGAAGUGCGAUAAGUAGUGUGAAUUGCAGAAUUCCGUGAAUCAUCGAAUUUUUGAACGCAAGUUGCACUCCCUGGUAUUCCGGGGAGUAUGCCUGUUUGAGGGUCAGUCUAAGUAAAAUCGAGGUGUCGCCUUGGUGACAAUUUCGGAAUUGGGUUGUCUUAACCUCUUUUCAGGUUAAGAGGCCUGAAGUUGAUGUUUUUUCGCGCAUCUUGGACGUGUAUAAUUCGCUUAUCCGUUUUCGAUGUCAAAUGUUUUAUUGGGUAUGGUCACGCCGUGUGUGAUCUCGUACCCAUAAUUUUUCAUAUUUUGACCUCAAAUCAGGUAGGAGUACCCGCUGAACUUAAGCAUAUCAAUAAGCGGAGGAA
rnacentral:rRNA from 1 species